GCAGACACAUUCCAGCCAAUCAGCAGCAGACCCUCCCUCCCAGACCCUCCCACGUCUUGGACAGCUCACUAAGAAUGCAGCUUCACAAUGAAUGUAAAAUGGAUGCUGUCCAGGAGGUGGGAGGGUCUGGGAGGGAGGGUCUGCUGCUGAUUGGCUGGAAUGUGUCUG